GUUUGGGUGGCGGACGGGUGAGUAACGCGUAAAGAACUUGCCUCACAGCUAGGGACAACAUUUGGAAACGAAUGCUAAUACCUAAUAUUAUGAUAAUAGGGCAUCCUAUAAUUAUGAAAGCUAUAAGCGCUGUGAGAGAGCUUUGCGUCCCAUUAGCUAGUUGGAGAGGUAACAGCUCACCAAGGCGAUGAUGGGUAGCCGGCCUGAGAGGGUGAUCGGCCACAUUGGGACUGAGACACGGCCCAAACUCC
rnacentral:rRNA from 1 species